rnacentral:rRNA from 1 species
UACGUAGGGUGCGAGCGUUUAAUCGGAAUUACUGGGCGUAAAGCGUGCGCAGGCUGUUCUGUAAGUCAGAUGUGAAAUCCCCGAGCUCAACUUGGGAACUGCGUUUGAAACUACAGACUAGAAUAUGUCAGAGGGGGGUAGAAUUCCACGUGUAGCAGUGAAAUGCGUAGAGAUGUGGAGGAAUACCAAUGGCGAAGGCAGCCCCCUGGGAUAAUAUUGACGCUCAUGCACCGAAAGCGUGGGGACAAACAAGGA